UACGGGGGGGGCAAGCGUUGUUCGGAAUUACUGGGCGUAAAGGGCUUGUAGGUGGCCAACUAAGUCAGACGUGAAAUCCCUCGGCUUAACCGGGGAACUGCGUCUGAUACUGGAUGGCUGGAGUGUGGGAGAGGGAUGCGGAAUUCCAGGUGUAGCGGUGAAAUGCGUAGAUAUCGUCUGGAACGCCAAAGGUGAAAACAGACUGCUGGGAGUGUGCUGACGCUGAGACACGAAAGCCAGGGGAGCAAACGGG
rnacentral:rRNA from 1 species